rnacentral:rRNA from 1 species
GACGAACGCUGGCGGCGUGCUUAACACAUGCAAGUCGAACGGAAAGGCCCUGCUUUUGCGGGGUGCUCGAGUGGCGAACGGGUGAGUAACACGUGAGUAACCUGCCCUUGACUUUGGGAUAACUUCAGGAAACUGGGGCUAAUACCGGAUAGGAGCUCCUGCUGCAUGGUGGGGGUUGGAAAGUUUCGGCGGUUGGGGAUGGACUCGCGGCUUAUCAGCUUGUUGGUGGGGUAGUGGCUUACCAAGGCUUUGACGGGUAGCCGGCCUGAGAGGGUGACCGGCCACAUUGGGACUGAGAUACGGCCCAGGCUCCUACGGGAGGCAGCAGUGGGGAAUAUUGCACAAUGGGCGGAAGCCUGAUGCAGCAACGCCGCGUGCGGGAUGACGGCCUUCGGGUUGUAAACCGCUUUCGCCUGUGACGAAGCGUGAGUGACGGUAAUGGGUAAAGAAGCACCGGCUAACUACGUG